ensembl:miRNA
UGGGUAGCUCUUGCAUUUCCUGGUGGGGGCCACUGGAUGGCUCCUCCACUUCCAGGAGUAGAUCAGUGGGUAUCU